rnacentral:rRNA from 1 species
AAGAGUUUGAUCAUGGCUCAGAUUGAACGCUGGCGGCAGGCCUAACACAUGCAAGUCGAACGGUAACAGGAAGCAGCUUGCUGCUUCGCUGACGAGUGGCGGACGGGUGAGUAAUGUCUGGGAAACUGCCUGAUGGAGGGGGAUAACUACUGGAAACGGUGGCUAAUACCGCAUAACGUCGCAAGACCAAAGAGGGGGACCUUCGGGCCUCUUGCCAUCAGAUGUGCCCAGAUGGGAUUAGCUUGUUGGUGAGGUAACGGCUCACCAAGGCGACGAUCCCUAGCUGGUCUGAGAGGAUGACCAGCCACACUGGAACUGAGACACGGUCCAGACUCCUACGGGAGGCAGCAGUGGGGAAUAUUGCACAAUGGGCGCAAGCCUGAUGCAGCCAUGCCGCGUGUAUGAAGAAGGCCUUCGGGUUGUAAAGUACUUUCAGCGGGGAGGAAGGUGUUGCGGUUAAUAACCGCAGCAAUUGACGUUACCCGCAGAAGAAGCACCGGCUAACUCCGUGCCAGCAGCCGCGGUAAUACGGAGGGUGCAAGCGUUAAUCGGAAUUACUGGGCGUAAAGCGCACGCAGGCGGUCUGUCAAGUCGGAUGUGAAAUCCCCGGGCUCAACCUGGGAACUGCAUUCGAAACUGGCAGGCUUGAGUCUUGUAGAGGGGGGUAGAAUUCCAGGUGUAGCGGUGAAAUGCGUAGAGAUCUGGAGGAAUACCGGUGGCGAAGGCGGCCCCCUGGACAAAGACUGACGCUCAGGUGCGAAAGCGUGGGGAGCAAACAGGAUUAGAUACCCUGGUAGUCCACGCCGUAAACGAUGUCUACUUGGAGGUUGUGCCCUUGAGGCGUGGCUUCCGGAGCUAACGCGUUAAGUAGACCGCCUGGGGAGUACGGCCGCAAGGUUAAAACUCAAAUGAAUUGACGGGGGCCCGCACAAGCGGUGGAGCAUGUGGUUUAAUUCGAUGCAACGCGAAGAACCUUACCUGGUCUUGACAUCCACAGAAGAAUCCAGAGA